GUGCGACACAGAGCCAUUUGCUGGUUACUGUAUUCUCGAUGAGCAACACGCGAUCAGCGCCACCAGUCAGUGGCUUGGCGAGCAGCCUGUUGAUCGCUUGCUGCCACCAGUUCUAAAUACUGAUUCGCACCCUUGUCAAGACGGCGCGCGGAGCGAAACAUACUCCCUGCACUCUUCUUGCUACGGCACUGCUCUGCACUUCAAGCUACAUCUGAAAUCGACUAUAAAAGAUGCUUCAAGGUUUGGAAAAAAACAUUGGCAAAGAUGUACUUCAGUGGGAGAGGAUUAUAUUAAAAGGGACAAAAUAAAUUUAGAUAAAUACAA